CAGGGAGGCCUGGCGUUCUGCGUUUCAUGUGGUCGCAAAGAGUUGGACAUGACUGAGCAACUGAACUGAACUGAACGUUAUUUUCCUGUGGCUACUGAAACAAAUUACCACAAACAUGAUGACCUAAAACAAUGGUAAUUUAUUCCCUCACAGUUCUGGAGGUCAGGCAUUUGAAAUCAAUUUCACUUCAUUGUGUUAUGGUACCAGCAAGGCAGUGCUUUCUCUGGUGGCGCUAGGGGAGCAUCUGUACUUUGCCUCUUGUCGUUUCUGGCAACAGCCUAGCUUUUCUUGCUUGUGGCUACAUCACUCCUAUCUCUGCCUCCUUGGUCACAUUUCUUUCUCCUCAUCUGUGUGUCAAAUUCCCCUCUGCUUUCCUCUCAUAUGCAUACAUGUGGUUGCACUGAGUGCCAACCACAUAAUUGAGACAAUCUCCCUAUAUCAUGAUGCUUAACUUAAUCACAUCUGCAGGGUCUUCUGCCAUAUAACAUUCACAGGUUCCAAGGCUUAGGAUGUGGAUCCCUUUGGAAGUCAUUUUUCAGCCUACUACAGCUUCAGAUCUAGGCAUUUUCGUAAGAGCAGUUUCAUCUGCCAGGAAGACUUUCCUUUAUGUGGUUCUUCCAAAAUUUGAAGUUAUUUCUAUGUUAAUAGCAGGUCUUUGAGUAACUUUUAAAUUUUUGUAUGAAUUUGUUUACCCAUUCAUUCUUUCAGUAAGCACUUAUUACUAUAGAAGGAUUAAGAAAAGGAAAUCAACUAAUACUUGCUUCAAGAAGAAUUUACCAUUUGCUUUUGAAGAAGGCCCUGCUGAGACUUACUUGAAAGGAAACUAACUCUUGUAUUGAUGGACUUGAUGAACAGUAUAGAUCCUGCAUGACCCACUGAAAAACGAGGUCUCUCCAAAUGAGUGGCUCUAGGGAGAAAGAGAAACAUUAUAUAUGCAUUUGCUAAAAUGUGAAAGAAGAUGUAGGCCAGGACAAAGACAGAAAUCCUGGUUUUAAAAGGACUUACAGGUGCCUACAAUAUCCCAAGCACUGUGCCCAGUGCUAGGAAUGAUGAGAGAAAGAGUAUGCUGGAUACUUCCAAGAACUACUGAAAAGUAAGUUUCUUUGUGAUAUCUCCAAAAUUUAACAAAAACCAAACUACCAAAACAUCCAUGCAAGGAGAAAUGGUGAAAGGUAUUACUGUCCUGAAAUAUAAAGUCCCUUGAUUUAGAAAAGUAAAUGAGCAAAAAAAAAAAAAAAAAAAAAA